rnacentral:rRNA from 1 species
UACGGAGGGUGCGAGCGUUAAUCGGAAUUACUGGGCGUAAAGCGUGCGUAGGCGGUUCGCUGUGUCCGAUGUGAAAGCCCCGGGCUUAACCUGGGAAUGGCGAUGGAUACUGGCUCGCUAGAGUGCGGUAGAGGAGAGUGGAAUUCCCGGUGUAGUGGUGAAAUGCGUAGAUAUCGGGAGGAACACCAGUGGCGAAGGCGACUACCUGGCCUGUUCUUGACGCUGAGGCGCGAAAGCUAGGGGAGCAAACGGG